GCUACAGUUCGGUCGUUCACCAGGUCAUCUAGCUACAGUUUAAUAAGCUAGCUGCCUUGUGAAGGGCAACAUUGUACU
rfam:Anopheles dirus strain WRAIR2 unplaced genomic scaffold supercont1.2, whole genome shotgun sequence.